GGAGCGGCAGACGGGAGAGUAACACGUGGGAACGUGCCCUUCAGUUCGGAACAACCCCAGGGAAACUUGGGCUAAUACCGGAUACGUCCGUAAGGAGAAAGAUUUAUCGCUGAAGGAUCGGCCCGCGUCUGAUUAGCUAGUUGGUGGGGUAACGGCCCACCAAGGCGACGAUCAGUAGCUGGUCUGAGAGGACGACCAGCCACACUGGGACUGAGACACGGCCCAGACUCCUACGGGAGGCAGCAGUGGGGAAUAUUGGACAAUGGGGGAAACCCUGAUCCAGCGACGCCGCGUGUGUGAAGAAGGCCUGCGGGUUGUAAAGCACUUUUAGUGGGGAUGAAAAGCUCAGGGCUAACACCUCUGAGUCUUGACCUAACCCAAAGAAAAAGCACCGGCUAACUCUGUG
rnacentral:rRNA from 1 species